rnacentral:rRNA from 1 species
CCUACGGGGGGCAGCAGUGAGGAAUAUUGGUCAAUGGGCGGGAGCCUGAACCAGCCAAGCCGCGUGAGGGAAGAAGGUACAGCGUAUCGUAAACCUCUUUUGUCAGGGAACAAAGGCGGGGACUAGUCCCCGGAUGAGGGUACCUGAAGAAAAAGCAUCGGCUAACUCCGUGCCAGCAGCCGCGGUAAUACGGAGGAUGCGAGCGUUAUCCGGAUUUACUGGGUGUAAAGGGAGCGUAGACGGCAGCGCAAGUCUGGUGUGAAAUGCCGGGGCCCAACCCCGGAACUGCUCUGGAAACUGGGAAGCGUGAGUGCAGGAGAGGUAAGCGGAAUUCCUGGUGUAGCGGUGAAAUGCGUAGAUAUCAGGAGGAACACCGGCGGCGAAGGCGGCUUACUGGACUGUAACUGACGUUGAGGCUCGAAGGCGUGGGGAGCAAACAGGAUUAGAUACCCGUGUAGUC